rnacentral:tRNA from 1 species
UCCCUGGUGGUCCAGUGGUUACAACUCUGAUCUUUCACUGCUGAGGGCCUGGGUUCAAUCCCUGGUCAGGGAA